rnacentral:misc_RNA from 1 species
GAAAUGCGAUAAGUAAUGUGAAUUGCAGAAUUCCGUGAAUCAUCGAAUCUUUGAACGCACAUUGCGCCCUCUGGUAUUCCGGGGGGCAUGCCUGUCCGAGCGUCAUUGCGAACCCCUCAAGCACGGCUUGUGUGAUGGGCCCUCCCGCGUCUUGGUCGUCAAGACGGGCCGAAAUGCAGUGGCGGCUUCGCGGUUAUCCGAUCAGCCAGAGCGUAUGGGGACUCUCUCUCUUGUCACACGCCCGCGGCGCGGACCGACGCCUGUCGACCUUUAUUCAUCUUCUCUCGGUUGACCUCGGAUCAGGUAGGGAUACCCGCUGAACUUAAGC